GGACGGGUGAGUAACACGUGGGUAACCUGCCUGUAAGACUGGGAUAACUCCGGGAAACCGGAGCUAAUACCGGAUAGUUCCUUGAACCGCAUGGUUCAAGGAUGAAAGACGGUUUCGGCUGUCACUUACAGAUGGACCCGCGGCGCAUUAGCUAGUUGGUGAGGUAACGGCUCACCAAGGCGACGAUGCGUAGCCGACCUGAGAGGGUGAUCGGCCACACUGGGACUGAGACACGGCCCAGACUCCUACGGGAGGCAGCAGUAGGGAAUCUUCCGCAAUGGACGAAAGUCUGACGGAGCAACGCCGCGUGAGUGAUGAAGGUUUUCGGAUCGUAAAGCUCUGUUGUUAGGGAAGAACAAGUGCAAGAGUAACUGCUUGCACCUUGACGGUACCUAACCAGAAAGCCACGGCUAACUACGUGCCAGCAGCCGCGGUAAUACGUAGGUGGCAAGCGUUGUCCGGAAUUAUUGGGCGUAAAGGGCUCGCAGGCGGUUUCUUAAGUCUGAUGUGAAAGCCCCCGGCUCAACCGGGGAGGGUCAUUGGAAACUGGGAAACUUGAGUGCAGAAGAGGAGAGUGGAACUCCACGUGUAGCGGUGAGAUGCGUAGAGAUGUGGAGGAAUACCAGUGGCGAAGGCGGCCUUCUGGACUGACACUGACACUGAGGUGCGAAAGCGUGGGUAGCAAACAGGAUUAGAUACCCUGGUAGUCCACGCCGUAAACGAUGUCGACCAGCCGUUGGGUGCCUAGCGCACUUUGUGGCGAAGUUAACGCGAUAAGUCGACCGCCUGGGGAGUACGGCCGCAAGGUUAAAACUCAAAUGAAUUGACGGGGGCCCGCACAAGCGGUGGAGCAUGUGGUUUAAUUCGAUGCAACGCGAAGAACCUUACCUACUCUUGACAU
rnacentral:rRNA from 1 species